CAUGAGAAAGAGAAACCAAGAAAGAGAGAAACACCAGAGAGAAGGAUAAAAGAUUACUGGGCCUGAGGUGGGGAUGGACAUCAUGGUGGAAAGCACCUGGGGAUACAGUACCAGGAAGCAGAGAGAGAGAGAGCUCCACUCAACCAGGACAAAACACCCAAAGGAACAACAAUAAAUCUGGUCCCUCUUGUUUCAUCUUGCCAAGAAGUUCAGACUGUUGAUUCUUUGUUUCUGAUAAAGAUUUGCAGACUCCCUCUGCCUAUCACAUGAAACAAUGAAACAGUGGAUGCUGAAAAUAAAGAUCCAGGGAAAGAUUUUAAUGGCCACUUACUGGAUCUUAUCUAUUUAGAUACUAAUUCUAUGUGAGUAUUUAAAGGAUAAUUCAAUACGACAAUCAUUGCCUUCCAGAGAAGAUGAUUCUUUUCUCAAAAUUGAUAAUAUAAAUAAAAAAUCAAAUAAGAUAUUUGAAGAACAGCUUGAAUGAAGGGAACUUAAUGAAGAAUUUCUAAAGAUACAUUUAUAAUGUACAUUCAAUAUUUCGGAAAAAUAAUUCAUAGUUGUUUUGUCAUCUGCAAACUAAUAAAAAUAUUUUAUACUAUUUGUUUAA